rnacentral:rRNA from 1 species
CCUACGGGUGGCAGCAGUGAGGAAUAUUGCUCAAUGGGCGCGAGCCUGAACCAGCCAAGUAGCGUGAAGGAUGACUGCCCUACGGGUUGUAAGCUUCUUUUAUAAAGGAGUAAAUGGAGGCACGUGUGCCUUUUGGUAUGUACAUUAUGAAUAAGGAACGGCUAACUCCGUGCCAGCAGCCGCGGUAAUACGGAGGUUCCGAGCGUUAUCCGGAUUUAGUGGGUUUAAAGGGAGCGUAGAUGGGUUGUUAAGUCAGUUGUGAAAGUUUGCGGCUCAACCGUAAAAUUGCAAUUGAUACUGGCAGCCUUGAGUACAGUUGAGGUAGGCGGAAUUCGUGGUGUAGCGGUGAAAUGCGUAGAUAUCACGAAGAACUCCGAUUGCGAAGGCAGCCUACUAAACUGCCACUGACAUUGAUGCUCGAAAGUGUGGGUAUCAAACAGGAUUAGAUACCCGAGUAGUC